rnacentral:rRNA from 1 species
CCUACGGGGGGCAGCAGUGAGGAAUAUUGGUCAAUGGCCGAGAGGCUGAACCAGCCAAGUCGCGUGAGGGAAGAAUGUCCUAUGGAUUGUAAACCUCUUUUGUCAGGGAGCAAAGUCACCCACGUGUGGGUGUUGGAGAGUACCUGAAGAAAAAGCAUCGGCUAACUCCGUGCCAGCAGCCGCGGUAAUACGGAGGAUGCGACCGUUAUCCGGAUUUAUUGGGGUUAAAGGGUGCGUAGGCGGGUUAUCAAGUCAGCGGUAAAAUCGUGGAGCUCAACUCCAUCCAGCCGUUGAAACUGGUUUUCUUGAGUGAGUGAGAAGUAUGCGGAAUGCGUGGUGUAGCGGUGAAAUGCAUAGAUAUCACGCAGAACUCCGAUUGCGAAGGCAGCAUACCGGCGCUCAACUGACGCUCAUGCACGAAAGUGUGGGUAUCGAACAGGAUUAGAUACCCGGGUAGUC